UCUCCGUUGGUGAACCAGCGGAGGGAUCAUUACAGAGUUGCAAAACUCCCAUAACCCUUUGUUAAUACUACCUGAUCGUUGCUUAGGCAGGCGGCCCCAGGGCGGGGCCUGUAGCCUUCUUUUAGGCGCCUGCCGACGGCAUCAUAAAACUCGUUUUUUUCCAGUUAUCUGAGUAUAAAUACACAAUGAGUCAAAACUUUCAACAACGGAUCUCUUGGUUCUGGCAUCAUGAAGAACGCAGC
rnacentral:misc_RNA from 1 species